GAAAAUUUCAUGCUAUUAGGAUGC
rnacentral:siRNA from 1 species